UGAACCAUCGAAAAGCUACUGCAGCUAUACUGCUGUGCCAUUGGCUACAACUCUCAGCUUUUAGCUGGAAAUACAGAAAGUGAAUCCAAUGGCAGUAAUAGCCCUCUCUGUUGUAUAUCAUAAACAGAUAUGGCACUGAAGUCAUCUGCGUUAAGACACACUGGGCCUACUUCUUUUUUUCCCAGAUCUGUUUGUGUGGAGAACAAUUUUUUCAAAAAACACAACCGUUUUCCAUAUAUAGAGAGCACCUUUCAAAUGCAAUAGAUGCAACAAAUCAUGCUGCCUCGAAUGCCAUAUAAUCGGGGAAAACGUAUACAGAUCCUUGACUUCGAUGCUGCAUCUCAUUCUCCAGUUACUUUUCAAAGGGUUUCCUGAAGAAUAAUACAGAGAUCUGUACAUCCACGUAAUUCAAUACAUGACAUGUGCGCCUUCUAGACAUCACAUACCACACACAUCACCCUCUCUGAGACAAUAGUAGUGAGAAUCUCUGUAAAAGUAACAAGCACUGCACAGCUGGCUGCAUAUGAAACCCAGGUUAUUCAAAGUGAAGUCUCUGUAGUUACAUGGAGGAGAAGAGGAAGACAAAGGUUUCAGCAGAAGAAAAUAUAACUGUAUUCACAGGUGAAAUGUUAACUGAUUAGCUACACUGAAAUGAAGACCAGUCAUUCUGAAGCUGCAUUUAGUGUUUAUGAAAGGCACUGAAAAGAAGACCGUUUAAAUUCCCUCUUCAUCCACAAAACAGCUCACCUGAUCCAGAAGAUGAGGCAUUCUAGAGACAGCUGGAAGUAGCCUCACAAUCACAGGCCCUGGUUCUCAGCGGGGACUUUAACCACCCUGAUAUCUGCUG